rnacentral:sRNA from 1 species
UUUUUUUCUUCUUCUUUUA